rnacentral:rRNA from 1 species
ACGAACGCUGGCGGCAGGCCUAACACAUGCAAGUCGAACGCCCCGCAAGGGGAGUGGCAGACGGGUGAGUAACGCGUGGGAACGUGCCCAAAGGUACGGGACAACUCCGGGAAACUGGAGCUAAUACCGUAUGUGCCCGAGAGGGGAAAGAUUUAUCGCCUUUGGAUCGGCCCGCGUCUGAUUAGCUAGUUGGUGAGGUAAUGGCUCACCAAGGCGACGAUCAGUAGCUGGUCUGAGAGGAUGAUCAGCCACACUGGGACUGAGACACGGCCCAGACUCCUACGGGAGGCAGCAGUGGGGAAUAUUGGACAAUGGGCGCAAGCCUGAUCCAGCCAUGCCGCGUGAGUGAUGAAGGCCUUAGGGUUGUAAAGCUCUUUCGCUCGCGACGAUAAUGACGGUAGCGAGAGAAGAAGCCCCGGCUAACUUCGU